rnacentral:rRNA from 1 species
GUCGUAACAAGGUUUCCGUAGGUGAACCUGCGGAAGGAUCAUUAUCGAGUCUUUGAAAGAAGUUGUAGCUGGCCUUUCGGGGCAUGUGCACGCUUCGCUCAAAUCCAACUCAUUUUCAACACCUGUGCACAUAUUGUAGGAYGGUUGAUACAAACGAAGAACUUAGGUUCCUCUCGAGUUGUUGACGCCUUCCUAUGUUUCAUUUACACACUCAUUGUCGUAYCAUGAAUGUUUUUUGCGCUUAAAUAACGCAUUAUAUAUAACUUUUAGCAACGGAUCUCUUGGCUCUCGCAUCGAUGAAGAACGCAGCGAAAUGCGAUAAGUAAUGUGAAUUGCAGAAUUCAGUGAAUCAUCGAAUCUUUGAACGCAACUUGCGCCCUUUGGUAUUCCGAAGGGCAUGCCCGUUUGAGUGUCAUGGUAUUCUCAAAGCCCUCUUCAUUUUUUUGAUGAUGUUGGCGCUUUGGAUUUGGAGGUCUUUUUUGCRGGUUUAGUUAAURAAUCUGCUCCUCUUGAAUGUAUUAGCUGGAAAUCUUUGCUCAGGUCUAGCUUCAGUGUGAUAAUUGUCUACGCUGUAGCUGUCUAAGCACAUGUAUGGAAUUCCGCUUCUAGUUGUCUUCUAAAGACAGAUUGUAAUGAUCUUUUGACAUCUGACCUCAAAUCGGGUAGGACUA